ACGUCAGGAGGCGCGAGAGGUGGUGGAGCCGGCUGGGUUCGCCGCGGCUCCGGCUUUGUCUACCCACAGAGUGGGGCGCGGGCCUUGGGCACCCAACGCCGCCGAGCAGACAAAGGACGCGGCCUGCGCGGCAGACACCGGGCCAAAUCAUCUGUUCCACUGGGCUGCGAGCUGGACCCGGGGCGGGGAGUCCCCUAUGGGUAGCGUCUCCACCCUUCUGAACAAUGGGGGCGCCGGAGCCGCACCCGGAUUCGGGCGGGGGCUGGGUUACAUCCCCGCAAUGGGCGACGAUAGUGGCAGCUAUGAUCUAGAUGGAGCUCCCUUCUCAUUCUGUUGCUUAAGACUGCUGGCCUCGGCCCUGCGGGCUCGGCGCUGCCGUCCCCAUUUCGGAGAUGGGGAAACUAAAGCUCUUGCUGACAGCAAGCCAACCACUGUGCCCCCAGUAAGCACCUGCUGAUGGCCUGGCCCUGCACUUAGCCGGAUGGGACGGCCUGGAGCCCCAUCAUGAGCACAAGAGGGUAUGGAGGAGACUAACUCUUUAUGCACACUUUAUGCCCAGAACCUCGAAAAGAAUAGAAUAGGACCAGGUUGAAUUUCAGUUCCUUGUCUCUUGCUGAGUGGUUUUGUGGCUCAAGCAGUUUUCUUAACCACUUAAAUGGUGAGAUUAGACGGCACACCCCAUCCCCCUCACAGAGUUGUGAAAAUGAAAUCAUGUACUUGAAGGGCUUAACCCAAUGCUUGGCCCCGCCGUUGUAAACCGUCAUUAAUGCUAACCACUUGGGGUUGCACUGUGUCAGGACAAGUCUACUGUUGGAAAGCAGCCUGCACUGCCUCUGGGUCCCCAGAGAUUCCUGCCUGUUGCCAGCAUUGGGGCUGGGCUGAUAACAGAGGUUGACCCUGGAUGACAUUAAACUCUGCAGGAAGUUGGAAAUCAGGCAGGCAAACUUGCACCAUAACCCAGGAUCCAGUGCUGCCUGACAUUGUAGCCUCAGCCGAUCAACUUUUAGGUGUAGCCUGACAGGACAAGUUUGUCAUCUGAUGGCUUAAUUCCAUCCCAUCAGCCUUACUAUAAACCCAGUCCUGGCCUCUCCUAGGAUGUUUGCUUGCCUUUGUGCAUGAUUUCCCAUUAGUCAUUCUCCUCUAACCAGACAGGCAGGAUGAGAUUUGUGUGUGAACUCCUAUGUGUUAACAAAAGCAUGCAUUUAUUUGCCUGAGUGAGUAGUGGGUGGGGAGAAGAUAUGUUCGAGCUUUCAUAUGAAAGCAUAAACACAUUUGUAAGUCUCUCUGUGAAGAUUGUAUGUACCUAUGAGUCUGCAAAUAUAAGAACUUGUAUU